AGAGUUUGAUCCUGGCUCAGGAUGAACGCUGGCGGCGUGCCUAACACAUGCAAGUCGAGCGAUUUACUUCGGUAAAGAGCGGCGGACGGGUGAGUAACGCGUGGGUAACCUGCCCUGUACACACGGAUAACAUACCGAAAGGUAUGCUAAUACGAGAUAAAAUACUUUUAUCGCAUGGUAGAAGUAUCAAAGCUUUUGCGGUACAGGAUGGACCCGCGUCUGAUUAGCUAGUUGGUAAGGUAACGGCUUACCAAGGCGACGAUCAGUAGCCGACCUGAGAGGGUGAUCGGCCACAUUGGAACUGAGACACGGUCCAAACUCCUACGGGAGGCAGCAGUGGGGAAUAUUGCACAAUGGGCGAAAGCCUGAUGCAGCAACGCCGCGUGAGCGAUGAAGGCCUUCGGGUCGUAAAGCUCUGUCCUCAAGGAAGAUAAUGACGGUACUUGAGGAGGAAGCCCCGGCUAACUACGUGCCAGCAGCCGCGGUAAUACGUAGGGGGCUAGCGUUAUCCGGAAUUACUGGGCGUAAAGGGUGCGUAGGUGGUUUCUUAAGUCAGAGGUGAAAGGCUACGGCUCAACCGUAGUAAGCCUUUGAAACUGGGGAACUUGAGUGCAGGAGAGGAGAGUGGAAUUCCUAGUGUAGCGGUGAAAUGCGUAGAUAUUAGGAGGAACACCAGUUGCGAAGGCGGCUCUCUGGACUGUAACUGACACUGAGGCACGAAAGCGUGGGGAGCAAACAGGAUUAGAUACCCUGGUAGUCCACGCCGUAAACGAUGAUUACUAGGUGUCGGGGAGCAGAGACUGCCCGGUGCCGCAGCCAACGCAUUAAGUAAUCCACCUGGGGAGUACGUUCGCAAGAAUGAAACUCAAAGGAAUUGACG
rnacentral:rRNA from 1 species